rnacentral:rRNA from 1 species
UACGUAGGGGGCUAGCGUUGUCCGGAAUCAUUGGGCGUAAAGAGCGUGUAGGCGGCCCGGUAAGUCCGCUGUGAAAGUCGGGGGCUCAACCCUCGAAUGCCGGUGGAUACUGUCGGGCUAGAGUGCGGAAGAGGCGAGUGGAAUUCCUGGUGUAGCGGUGAAAUGCGCAGAUAUCAGGAGGAACACCGGUGGCGAAGGCGGGUCUCUGGGCCGUAACUGACGCUGAGGAGCGAAAGCGUGGGGAGCGAACAGG